GCUCAGCCGUCAACAAAGAUAGUAUAAAACACAGUACUAUUCGCCAGAGAACUACAAGCUAAGACUCGAAACUCCAAGGACUUGGCGGUGCUCCACAUCAACCUAGAGGAGCCUGUCCUAUAAUCGAUACCCCCCGAUCUACCUCACCACUUUUUGAAAUUCAGCCUAUAUACCGCCGUCGUCAGCCUACCUUAUGAAAGAAACAUAGUAGGCAAAAUAGUCACCAACUAAAACGUCAGGUCAAGGUGUAGCACAUAAACUGGAAGAGAUGGGCUACACUCUCUCCCUCAGAGAACACGAACAGCAUCAAUGAAACCCUGCUCAAAGGUGGAUUUAGUAGUAAGAUAAACAAGAGAACUUAUCUUAAACCAGCCCUGGAGCGCGC
rnacentral:rRNA from 1 species